rfam:Drosophila sechellia strain Rob3c scaffold_4383 genomic scaffold, whole genome shotgun sequence.
CAUCUAGUAGCUGGUUCCUUCCGAAGUUUCCCUCAGGAUAGCUGGUGCAUUUUAAUAUUAUAUAAAAUAAUCUUAUCUGGUAAAGCGAAUGAUUAGAGGCCUUAGGGUCGAAACGAUCUUAACCUAUUCUCAAACUUUAAAUGGGUAAGAACCUUAACUUUCUUGAUAUGAAGUUCAAGGUUAUGAUAUAAUGUGCCCAGUGGGCCACUUUUGGUAAGCAGAACUGGCGCUGUGGGAUGAACCAAACGUAAUGUUACGGUGCCCAAAUUAACAACUCAUGCAGAUACCAUGAAAGGCGUUGGUUGCUUAAAACAGCAGGACGGUGAUCAUGGAAGUCGAAAUCCGCUAAGGAGUGUGUAACAACUCACCUGCCGAAGCAACUAGCCCUUAAAAUGGAUGGCGCUUAAGUUGUAUACCUAUACAUUACCGCUAAAGUAGAUGAUUUAUAUUACUUGUGAUAUAAAUUUUGAAACUUUAGUGAGUAGGAAGGUACAAUGGUAUGCGUAGAAGUGUUUGGCGUAAGCCUGCAUGGAGCUGCCAUUGGUACAGAUCUUGGUGGUAGUAGCAAAUAAUCGAAUGAGACCUUGGAGGACUGAAGUGGAGAAGGGUUUCGUGUGAACAGUGGUUGAUCACGAGUUAGUCGGUCCUAAGUUCAAGGCGAAAGCCGAAAAUUUUCAAGUAAAACAAAAAUGCCUAACUAUAUAAACAAAGCGAAUAUAAUACACUUGAAUAAUUUUGAACGAAAGGGAAUACGGUUCGAAUUCCGUAACCUGUUGAGUAUCCGUUUGUAAUAAAUAUGGGCCUCGUGCUCAUCCUGGCAACAGGAACGACCAUAAAGAAGCCGUCGAGAGAUAUCGGAAGAGUUUUCUUUUCUGUUUUAUAGCCGUACUACCAUGGAAGUCUUUCGCAGAGAGAUAUGGUAGAUGGGCUAGAAGAGCAUGACAUAUACUGUUGUGUCGAUAUUUUCUCCUCGGACCUUGAAAAUUUAUGGUGGGGACACGCAAACUUCUCAACAGUCCGUACCAAUAUCCGCAGCUGGUCUCCAAGGUGAAGAGUCUCUAGUCGAUAGAAUAAUGUAGGUAAGGGAAGUCGGCAAAUUAGAUCCGUAACUUCGGGAUAAGGAUUGGCUCUGAAGAUUGAGAUAGUCGGGCUUGAUUGGGAAACAAUAACAUGGUUUAUGUGCUCGUUCUGGGUAAAUAGAGUUUCUAGCAUUUAUGUUAGUUACUUGUUCCCCGGAUAGUUUAGUUACGUAGCCAAUUGUGGAACUUUCUUGCUAAAAUUUUUAAGAAUACUAUUUGGGUUAAACCAAUUAGUUCUUAUCAAUUAUAACGAUUAUCAAUUAACAAUCAAUUCAGAACUGGCACGGACUUGGGGAAUCCGACUGUCUAAUUAAAACAAAGCAUUGUGAUGGCCCUAGCGGGUGUUGACACAAUGUGAUUUCUGCCCAGUGCUCUGAAUGUCAAGUGAAGAAAUUCAAGUAAGCGCGGGUCAACGGCGGGAGUACUAUGACUCUCUUAAGGUAGCCAAAUGCCUCGUCAUCUAAUUAGUGACGCGCAUGAAUGGAUUAACGAGAUUCCUACUGUCCCUAUCUACUAUCUAGCGAAACCACAGCCAAGGGAACGGGCUUGGAAUAAUUAGCGGGGAAAGAAGACCCUUUUGAGCUUGACUCUAAUCUGGCAGUGUAAGGAGACAUAAGAGGUGUAGAAUAAGUGGGAGAUAUUAGACCUCGGUUUGGUAUCGUCAAUGAAAUACCACUACUCUUAUUGUUUCCUUACUUACUUGAUUAAAUGGAACGUGUAUCAUUUCCUAGCCAUUAUACGGAUAUAUUUAUUAUAUCUUAUGGUAUUGGGUUUUGAUGCAAGCUUCUUGAUCAAAGUAUCACGAGUUUGUUAUAUAAUCGCAAACAAAUUCUUUAAUAAAACGAUGCAUUUAUGUAUUUUUGAUUUGAAAAUUUGGUAUAACUCCAAUUACUCAGGUAUGAUCCAAUUCAAGGACAUUGCCAGGUAGGGAGUUUGACUGGGGCGGUACAUCUCUCAAAUAAUAACGGAGGUGUCCCAAGGCCAGCUCAGUGCGGACAGAAACCACACAUAGAGCAAAAGGGCAAAUGCUGACUUGAUCUCGGUGUUCAGUACACACAGGGACAGCAAAAGCUCGGCCUAUCGAUCCUUUUGGUUUAAAGAGUUUUUAACAAGAGGUGUCAGAAAAGUUACCAUAGGGAUAACUGGCUUGUGGCGGCCAAGCGUUCAUAGCGACGUCGCUUUUUGAUCCUUCGAUG